rnacentral:rRNA from 1 species
GACAGAGGGUGCAAACGUUGCUCGGAAUCACUGGGCGUAAAGGGCGUGUAGGCGGGACGGUAAGUCGGGCGUGAAAUCCCUAGGCUCAACCUAGGAACUGCACUCGAAACUACCAUUCUUGAGUGUCGGAGAGGAAAGCGGAAUUCCUGGUGUAGAGGUGAAAUUCGUAGAUAUCAGGAGGAACACCAGUGGCGAAGGCGGCUUCUGGACGAUAACUGACGCUGAGACGCGAAAGCGUGGGAAGCAAACAGG